AAAAUACUACCUCCGUCCCAAAAUUCUUGUCUUAGAUUCGUCUAAAUAUGGAUGUAUCUAAUACUAAAACGUGACUUGAUAUAUUCGUGCCAAGACAAGAAUUUUAGGACGGAGGGAGUAUAUG
rfam:Triticum aestivum genome assembly, contig: Triticum_aestivum_CS42_TGACv1_scaffold_271842_3DS